rnacentral:misc_RNA from 1 species
CAUAGCAGCGCAUCCCUUGCACGGGGGAAGUGAAGCAGGUGAUCGAAAAGAUAUUCAUGGGGCUUGUUCAGUAGCGCAGGUGAGGAUCAUGAAGUUCCUUCUCGUAAUUGUGUUUUUAUAUUUGCGGCUGGUGCUGGCAUCGAGAGAUAAACAUGGCUCUGAUAUUACGCUGUGGAUUGAUGAAAAACAGGUCAAAGAAUUUAGCGGUUUUCCAAUGGAGAUCUUUGCCAUUGUGGAUGGAGUUGUAUUGCCGUACAUCUUAGACCCCAACUUCGAAAACUACUUACCUGUCAUUCCAGCAGAAGUCGAAAGCGUGAAUUUCACGUGGCGGUCUGGAGAUCAAAAGUAUUACUACGAUUUCGAUCAACUGAAAUCCUUUAAUGAAAGUAUCCUUCGAGACCCUGUAGUAUCUAUUGAAACUCGAGGAAAAGUACCGAGGAAGCCUAGAGUUUUUCAGGUGUUCAUAACAUGCCGUGGAAACCAGAGCGGAGUGGGAUCAUUUGGUAUCGGCUUGAGGAUACAGAACGACAGGGGACUCUUUUUACCAGGAACGCCAUUAAGGCUUCGAUUACAGAAGCAGUGCGCCGAUCAUGGUCCUGAUCCGGAAUGUGACAAGAAAUGUGCCAACGGAGGCAGAUGUAAUCAGCAUCGAAUUUGUGAAUGCCCGAAAGGUUAUAUGGGGAAAUAUUGUCAUUCGGCCCUGUGUUAUCCACAAUGUAUGAAUGGAGGCACUUGCGUUUCACCUGGAUUAUGCGCUUGCAGCGAUGGCUACCAAGGACCUCAUUGUGAAGGCGGAAUGUGCCUUGAAAAAUGCUUAAAUGGCGGUAAAUGUAUAAAUAAAGACACUUGCGAGUGUAGAAGAGGAUAUUAUGGACUUCGAUGUGAAUACAGUAAAUGUAGUGCUGUUCCAUGUCUAAACGGAGGUCGUUGUGUCGGAAUAAAUAAAUGCCGGUGUAAGAAGGGAUACGUUGGUGCUCAAUGUGAAGGACUGCUUGACAGACCAAGUCUUGAAAAACAUGCAAUACUCGUCAAAUAAAAUUGCCUACUUCUCCUCUUCUGAUGGCUGUGGUGUCUUCUUCACUUUAUGGCACUUGAAGGCCAAAAAGAAGGCGGCAAAGAAAGCUUUUACAUUAAACAUUAAUUCUAAUACACUGGAUUCAUCAACUAACUGCAUUACAAGGCAUCGCAUGGUGGUGUUACAAGCAAAAGGCGUUCAACUGAAUUUUCAAAGUGGGAAGGCUUUGCCACUUAAAAAUGUGCCAAAUCUGCUCAUCAAGUUUCACAGUGAUGAAUAAUAUGCUGAAUUUGAUAUGCUAUUGCCGAAUUCAUUGUUUAUGAUAUUAUUCCAAUAAGAUCAUAUGAUGCAUGUUCUCUGAGCGACAGCUUUCCGAAAAGCAAAAUUGGAUCAUUGUCACCCCCCUUUUGAACAUUUGUAUAUACAUAUAUUAUGACAAUUUCUCGCAGCAAGACUGUUUGGGACAUACUACUCUAAUGCGAGUUUUACAGAAAAGUAUGAAUUUUAAUUACAUCCUUUAUAUACGUUUCAUGCAUAUAUGCGGGAAAAAAUGCUACUAAAAGCUGUUUUUCACUUU